CCUACGGGUGGCAGCAGUGAGGAAUAUUGGUCAAUGGGCGCUAGCCUGAACCAGCCAAGUAGCGUGAAGGAUGACUGCCCUCUGGGUUGUAAACUUCUUUUAUAUGGGAAUAAAGUGCAGUAUGUAUACUGCUUUGCAUGUACCUUAUCAAUACGGAUCGGCUAACUCCGUGCCAGCAGCCGAGGUUAUACGGAGGGUCCGAGCGUUAUCCGGAUUUAUUGGGUGUAAAGGGAGCGUAGGCGGGUGGUUAAGUCAGUUGUGAAAGUUUGCGGCUCAACCGUAAAAUUGCAGUUGAUACUGGCAGCCUUGAGUACAGUAGAGGUAGGCGGAAUUCGUGGUGUAGCGGUGAAAUGCUUAGAUAUCACGAAGAACUCCGAUUGCGAAGGCAGCUUACUAAACUGCCACUGACAUUGAGGCUCGAAAGUGUGGGUAUCAAACAGGAUUAGAUACCCCGGUAGUC
rnacentral:rRNA from 1 species